rnacentral:rRNA from 1 species
UACAGAGGUCCCAAGCGUUGUUCGGAUUCACUGGGCGUAAAGGGUGCGUAGGUGGCAGGGUAAGUUUGAUGUGAAAUCUCCGAGCUUAACUCGGAAACUGCAUUGAAUACUAUUCUGCUCGAGGUUUGGAAGGGGGACUGGAAUUCUCGGUGUAGCAGUGAAAUGCGUAGAUAUCGAGAGGAACACCAGUGGCGAAGGCGAGUCCCUGGACACUUCCUGACACUGAGGCACGAAAGCUAGGGGAGCAAACAGG